AUCUCAUUCAAUCAUCCUUUUCACUGGUGUCCGUCUCCGAGUUAACGUCGCAUAUUGACAAUGUCAGCGGUUGGUGACGACCGAGUAUGCAGGACAGGUGAAUGUAAAUAAAAGAACUAUUGGGUUGGCAA
rnacentral:lncRNA from 1 species